rnacentral:rRNA from 1 species
AGUGGCGGACGGGUGAGUAACGCGUGAGAAUCUGCCUUGGGGUCGGGGACAACCACUGGAAACGGUGGCUAAUACCGGAUAAGCCGAUUGGUGAAAGAUUUAUUGCCCGAAGAGGAGCUCGCGUCCGAUUAGCUAGUUGGUGAGGUAAGAGCUCACCAAGGCAGCGAUCAGUAGCUGGUCUGAGAGGACGAUCAGCCACACUGGGACUGAGACACGGCCCAGACUCCUACGGGAGGCAGCAGUGGGGAAUUUUCCGCAAUGGGCGAAAGCCUGACGGAGCAAGACCGCGUGAGGGAGGAAGGCUCUUGGGUUGUAAACCUCUUUUCUCAGGGAAGAAGCUCUGACGGUACCUGAGGAAUCAGCCUCGGCUAACUCCGUGCCAGCAGCCGCGGUAAUACGGAGGAGGCAAGCGUUAUCCGGAAUUAUUGGGCGUAAAGCGUCCGCAGGUGGCGAUUCAAGUCUGCUGUCAAAGCACGGGGCUUAACUCCGUAAAGGCAGUGGAAACUGAAUAGCUAGAGUGCCGUAGGGGUAGAGGGAAUUCCCGGUGUAGCGGUGAAAUGCGUAGAGAUCGGGAAGAACAUCGGUGGCGAAAGCGCUCUACUGGACGGCAACUGACACUCAGGGACGAAAGCUAGGGGAGCGAAUGGGAUUAGAUACCCC